GACGUAGGGCGCGAGCGUUGUCCGGAUUUAUUGGGCGUAAAGAGCUCGUAGGCGGCUUGUCGCGUCGGCUGUGAAAACCCGGAGCUCAACUCCGGGCCUGCAGUCGAUACGGGCGGACUAGAGUUCGGCAGGGGAGACUGGAAUUCCUGGUGUAGCGGUGAAAUGCGCAGAUAUCAGGAGGAACACCGGUGGCGAAGGCGGGUCUCUGGGCCGAUACUGACGCUGAGGAGCGAAAGCGUGGGGAGCGAACAGG
rnacentral:rRNA from 1 species